rnacentral:rRNA from 1 species
UCCUACGGGGCGCAGCAGUGGGGAUAUUGGACAAUGGGGGAAACCCUGAUCCAGCGAUGCCGCGUGAGGGAAGAAGGUCUUCGGAUUGUAAACCUCUGUGGAGGGGGACGAUAAUGACGGUACCCCUUUAGGAAGCCACGGCUAACUCCGUGCCAGCAGCCGCGGUAAUACGGAGGAUGCGAGCGUUAUCCGGAUUUAUUGGGUUUAAAGGGUGCGUAGGCGGAGUGUCAAGUCAGCGGUAAAAUUUCGGGGCUCAACCCCGUCGUGCCGUUGAAACUGACGCCCUUGAGUGAGUGAGAAGUAAG